AAAAGAGCCCUACCAAACGUAAUGAAUUUGAAGAGCACUACCUAAGUCUCUCAAAAUUUUCUCCAUCUUUGCCCCCAAAAUUUUUUCCCUCUCACUCUUUCCCUCUCACAAAAUUUCCCCAAUUUUUUUUUUCCCUCUCACUCUUUCACUUAGGGAUUUCAUGAGCUCUCUCCCUCUCAUUCUCACUUUCCCUCUCACAAUACUCUCUCUUUCUCCCCUCACUCAUCUUUGAUCUCUCCAUCAGACCCAUCAGCCAACGCCAUCCACUACGCAGCCACCCUCUGCCACCACUGCCAUCAUCGUCCUCCACUCUCUUUGAAUCGGCUCCCACCUACUGCGCUAUCCACCACAAGUCUGAACAAGCUUGGCUAUGGUUGGCAGUGGAGCAUAUCUUGUGUACAAAUAUAGAUUACGGCAAUACAUGGAUUCUGAAAUUAGAGCUAUAAUGGCACAGUAUAUGCCUCUAGACAGUCAAGCUGAAAUACCAAACCAUGUCAAUGACGAACAAGCAUGAAAAGCAAAAUUUCACCCUUCAGUUUUUUUAAGGAUUUCAGGGCUAAUAUGGGAGUGCACUACUGAAUAAGCUUUCAAUCAAUGGGUACCUACUUAUGGUCAAAAUAUUGCAUGCCUUGGGCUAUAGAAGAUAUUGAGGGGAGAUAUAUUUCAUUGCAACAAGUUUUAGCUUGGUGGCAUAUUUUCAUGAGGAAUUUGUUAUCAUUUGACUAGUAUUUGAGUGAAUAGAUUGGAACUUAUAUUAUGUAUAUGAUAUUGAACUUGGAUAUUAUUUUCCCUUAUUGGUAGUUAUUGAUUGAGCAGUUGUUAUGCUUA